CAGGACGACGCUGGCGGCGUGCCUAAUACAUGCAAGUCGAACGGUCUUUCUAUGGAAGCUUGCUCCACUGAGAAGAUAGUGGCGAACGGGUGAGUAACACGUGGGUAACCUGCCCAUAAGAGGGGGGAUAACAUCCGGAAACGGGUGCUAAUACCGCAUAGUUUUCUUGAUCGCAUGAUCGGGAAAGGAAAGACGGCCUUUGUGCUGUCGCUUAUGGAUGGACCCGCGGCGUAUUAGUUAGUUGGUGAGGUAACGGCUCACCAAGACGAUGAUACGUAGCCGACCUGAGAGGGUGAUCGGCCACAUUGGGACUGAGACACGGCCCAAACUCCUACGGGAGGCAGCAGUAGGGAAUCUUCCGCAAUGGACGAAAGUCUGACGGAGCAACGCCGCGUGAGUGAAGAAAGGUUUUCGGAUCGUAAAACUCUGUUGUCAGAGAAGAACAAGUUGGAGAGUAACUGCUCCAGCCUUGACGGUAUCUGACCAGAAAGCCACGGCUAACUACGUGCCAGCAGCCGC
rnacentral:rRNA from 1 species